rnacentral:piRNA from 1 species
UGAUCUAGAAGAUGGAGGCCAUGGUAUUCAGC